UACGGGGGGGGGCAAGCGUUGUUCGGAAUUACUGGGCGUAAAGGGCUCGUAGGCGGCCAACUAAGUCAGACGUGAAAUCCCUCGGCUUAACCGGGGAACUGCGUCUGAUACUGGAUGGCUUGAGUUUGGGAGAGGGAAGCGGAAUUCCCGGUGUAGUGGUGGAAUGCGUAGAUAUCGGGAGGAACACCAGUGGCGAAGGCGGCUUCCUGGACC
rnacentral:rRNA from 1 species